rnacentral:rRNA from 1 species
GACGAACGCUGGCGGCGUGCUUAACACAUGCAAGUCGAACGGAAAGGCCCUGCUUUUGUGGGGUGCUCGAGUGGCGAACGGGUGAGUAACACGUGAGUAACCUGCCCUUGACUUUGGGAUAACUUCAGGAAACUGGGGCUAAUACCGGAUAGGAGCUCCUGCUGCAUGGUGGGGGUUGGAAAGUUUCGGCGGUUGGGGAUGGACUCGCGGCUUAUCAGCUUGUUGGUGGGGUAGUGGCUUACCAAGGCUUUGGCGGGUAGCCGGCCUGAGAGGGUGACCGGCCACAUUGGGACUGAGAUACGGCCCAGACUCCUACGGGAGGCAGCAGUGGGGAAUAUUGCACAAUGGGCGGAAGCCUGAUGCAGCAACGCCGCGUGCGGGAUGACGGCCUUCGGGUUGUAAACCGCUUUCGCCUGUGACGAAGCGUGAGUGACGGUAAUGGGGAAAGAAGCACCGGCGAACUACGU